AAUACGGAGGGUGCAAGCGUUAAUCGGAAUUACUGGGCGUAAAGCGCGCGUAGGCGGCGUGUCACGCCGGGUGUGAAAGCCCCGGGCUCAACCUGGGAACGGCAUCCGGAACGGGCAGGCUAGAGUGCAGGAGAGGAAGGUAGAAUUCCCGGUGUAGCGGUGAAAUGCGUAGAGAUCGGGAGGAAUACCAGUGGCGAAGGCGGCCUUCUGGACUGACACUGACGCUGAGGUGCGAAAGCGUGGGUAGCAAACAGGAUUAGAUACCCUGGUAGUCCACGCCGUAAACGAUGUCGACUAGCCGUUGGGUCCCUUGAGGACUUAGUGGCGCAGUUAACGCGAUAAGUCGACCGCCUGGGGAGUACGGCCGCAAGGUUAAAACUCAAAUGAAUUGACGGGGGCCCGCACAAGCGGUGGAGCAUGUGGUUUAAUUCGAUGCAACGCGAAGAACCUUACCUACCCUUGACAUCCUGCGAACCCGGAAGAGAUUCCGGGGUGCCUUCGGGAGCGCAGAGACAGGUGCUGCAUGGCUGUCGUCAGCUCGUGUUGUGAAAUGUUGGGUUAAGUCCCGUAACGAGCGCAACCCUUGUCCCUAUUUGCCAGCGAUUCGGUCGGGAACUCUAGGGAGACUGCCGGUGACAAACCGGAGGAAGGUGGGGACGACGUCAAGUCAUCAUGGCCCUUACGGGUAGGGCUACACACGUGCUACAAUGGCCGGUACAAAGGGUUGCGAAAGCGCGAGCUGAAGCUAAUCCCGAAAAGCCGGU
rnacentral:rRNA from 1 species